CCCUUAGAUGUCCUGGGCUGCACGCGCGCUACACUGAUGUAUUCAACAAGUGUUGCCUUGACCGAGAGGCCUAGGAAAUCUUUUAAAAGUGCAUCGUGAUAGGAAUAGAUUAUUGCAAUUUUUAAUCUUGAACGAGGAAUUCCUAGUAAACACAGAUCAUCAAUCUGCAUUGAUUACGUCCCUGCCCUUUGUACACACCGCCCGUCGCACCUACCGAUUGAAUGGUCCGGUGAAGCCUCGGGAUUGUAGCAAUCUACCUUUAUUGGUGGUUUGUUGCAAGAACUUGUCUAAACCUUAUCAUUUAGAGGAAGGUGAAGUCGUAACA
rnacentral:rRNA from 1 species